UAAGACGACUGAAUGUCACACAAUCAUUUUUCAAACACAAAUAUUCAAAAUAGCUAUGGGCACAGCCUGUAUUGUAUGAGCACUGACCAAUGAGAAGUGAUGCUGGCCACUGGCACAUGAGCAGAGUUCUGAGCGGCUCCCCAUGACCCAUCUGCCACCCUGCCAGGUGCUAACCCUUUAGUUGUUGGGUGGAAUGAGAAGGGAGGAGGGAGUCCUGGGGAGGGGCCGAGGCCGUUGAGGUGGCAUGAAAGGGUGCUCUGGGGACUCAGGUUAGUGGCUCUUUAACAACUGGUGUGGAGUCAUCUCAAUAUUUUAACAUAGGCUGGCUUUCCAGGUGUGUGCAGGGUGAUGAUUAGCUCUACCUGCCACCCAUCACAGAACUCAGAGUUUCACCACUUCCUUCUCCAUUUUCUUUAGCUGUCAGCAUAUAGUUAAUGGGCAACAACACAGCUCUCCAUCCAGUUCUGGGAAAUAAUAAUCAUGGUUAAUAGUUACUGAGAACUGAUGAUUUCAUUUCAUCUUCAUACCAACGCUUGGGGUAGGCACCAUUUUAAAAGCGAUUGGAGACAGGUUAAACAACUUGCCCUCAAUCAAUGGUUGGGAAGUGAAAGAACCAAGCUUCAAACCCAGGUCUGUCUGGGUCUUGAGCCAAGCUCCAAGUCUGUGUCACAUUGCCCAGGACUCGGCUGCCAAUUCUCCCGACCUCCUCGUCCCUCACUGCUGCAUCAGCAAAUCCAGGGCUCAUGGCAGGAAGAGCAGAGAAGAGCAAAGAGAUGGAACUUUCCAGGCCUGGGAGAACCAGAGGCUCCAUGGCCUAUUGAGAAACUUCUUCACCUGUCCUGCUCACCUGGAGCUCUACCAACUGCUGAGACCGUUGCUGGUCACUUCCUUGUCCCUACUCAGUCAGCCAGUUGGGGUCUUGGUUUGGAUUCUUUGCUCCUAGCACUCACACUCCAUCCACCCCUCACUCUCUGGACCAUGUCCGGGCUGAGACCUCACGUGGGCUCACAUUCUUACGUCUCCCUGGCCCUAGAAGCUGCUCAUCUUCUGGAACUUUAAUACAUUGUUCGACUCUAGUCCUGCUUGAGAUUCCUUUGAAUAAUUCUUAAUUAUACUUCAGGGCUGGCUCUACACAGCAGACCACAUGAAUAAGAAUUCUUUCUAAGGUUGCAUUGGUCUGUGAGAAGGCAGGAAAAAUGCCUCAGGAUGAUUGAAAUGGUUGUUCUGAAAUGAUGGAUGAUAUUGUGUGGCUUAAGCUUCCCAUAACCCUGAUGGGCUCAACUGGGGGAGGGGCAGCGAGAGAUGUGGGGAGAGUCCCAUACACGCCAUUUCUCCUCUGGCUUCUCCUAACACUAGCCCCACCCCAGAACCCAGGACUCUGACUGCCCAUCUUGUGAUAUAGAAGCUUCUGGGGGCAGGAGUGACUGUGGAAACUGGAGGUUGUUCCUGGACUAUUUCACAACACUUGUCUCCAGGAAAAAGAAAAAAAAAAAAAAGCCUCAUUCUCUUGAUCCCCAGUGUUACAUAACCUAACAUUUCCCUUGCUGGUUGAAAUGAAUAUCCUUUGCCUGAAUAAAUAGGACACAAACUGUUUGGGGCGGGCUGCUUCCUCUGCUCCAGCGUUUCUGAGGGAUCCGGCCACUUCGGUGGGGUUAGUGGUGGCCCACAGCUCGGCUUGGCCCGGGUCUUCCUGCAGGGCUCCUUCUUGGAGCGUGCAUUCUGCCAAAACACGUUUUAAGUGUGUCAACAAGUAGCAAACAGUGACCCACCUGUGGCAGUUGCGGUGACUCUGGAAGACGGGCUCCCCCUGAGGCGCUGGGGCGUCUGCAGCUGGAAAUCUGCUGUUGCUCCUUCCACACAUCUCCUAAGUGCAGAAACACCGCCCAAAGCCCUGAAAUGGAAAGGUUAAAAAAUCCAGAGUCAUAAACACUCACAGGAGUAUCAACUGUCGGCUCUGCCUUUAUAGGAAAACCGUUUACUUGGUAACGUGGUGUUGAACCCUCAUGUCCUGGCAUACGUUUUUGAUUUUCAUGUGGAGCGUUUGAUAAUUUCCCGAAGCCCAAAUGACUCAUUCCAUAGCCUGUCAUUUGAACUGUUCACACCUUUGUCUUCAUUCUCUUUCCUGUGUUUUCCUGUUGGAGAAAAAUGAAUAGCACCCUUGGCUUGUCCAGCAGAGGCAGACCCUAUUCCAUGCUCUCAGAUGACUUUCCCAUCUUUCAUUUCCGCAGAGGUGAAGCUUUCAUGGUGUGAAGGGAAGGAUGGAACUGGUGAGGUCCUGGUGUUACUCAUUCUGAGCUCCAGGGGCUGCUUCAUAUCACAACUGGAUGAAAACUCCUCAAGGUCACAUCUAUCCCUCCUUGCCUGGCACAGAGGAGAUGCUUCAUUUGGAUGUGUUGCUGGAGGGGAGAGGUGCAAGCAGUAUGCCAUGGGCACUCAGAGAAAGAGACUAUCUUUAUUCCUGUAAGCUUCAACUAGGGAGCUUCAAUGUUGCGCAAAUGACAGCAGAGAGAGUCAUCAGGUCAAGCCUAUCCAGCAAGAAGCCAAGUGGAGAGUUGAGCAAUUAUCUGAAGUGGGCAGUGAGACGGCCAAAACCAGAUAAUACUUAACCAGAAAGUCAUCGUGGAGGGAAAAAGUGGACUGAAAAUAGAAGGGAUGGGGUAAAAUGUCAAACAAUUUGGUCAGUGUCCACAGUCCAAAUUCACUGGAUAACAGCCAAUUCCUUGCUUCAUGUAAUUAUUUAGAACGAGUCUAAAAGACUGAGGUUUUAAAAAAAGAAGAUGAAUUUGUUACCAAGGUUGUUGCAUGUUUGUGCAAAACUUUUUCAUAUCCGUAGGACUAUCUGUGACAUGUCUAAUUCUGAAUAUUUCCAGGAUAUUUUAGAUUGGUGGGUCAAGUUUGUUGAGGAAGCCCAUAUUAUCUGUAGACUUACAUGGAGAAAAACUUUCUUUUAUGGAUUAUUUGAGUGUUAUAUUUAAUUCGCCUUUCUCCCCCCAUAGCAUAUUGCUUAGGAAUUUUCCAUUGAAAACUCCUGGUUCUCUGUUACUUUAUCAUUUCCUCAUGUGGCAAUUUCAGUAUCCCCUUGAUUUUAGUAGAACCUAUCAAUGAAGUAUAUAAGUCUACUAGAAUGGGAUUUGCAUUACUUUUGGUUAAAAAAAACCCCACCAAAGUCUCAGAUCAAUGUGGUGUUUUUUUCCCUUCUAUUUGGUAUAAAAACCAUAAACUAAUUACUCUGAACAGAUGUUUCCUAGACCUAAAAUAUAGUUAUCAGCCCACUGGCCUCUAUAAAUCCAUCGCUGUAUACCUGGUAAUCCUGAAGACUCCUUAGUGCCAUGUUAAACCUUCCAUUUGUUGAUUUUUUAUUGAGAAAAAGUUCAUAAAUUAGGUUCACUGCUGCUUGGAAUUAAGAAGAAAACACAGCCAUGUUAGUAUUUCAGAUGGGAAAACCAAAGUUAAAAACAAGUAUUUUUUUUCACUCUAUCAUGUCUUGAACAUUUGAAGCCAUUACAUAGCAUCUUAGAAACAACAACAACAAAAUAACCCAGGGCUACAUUUUUCAGUAGCUUUGGCUGAUGUUUGAAAUCCACAGUGAAAAUUGCCCAUGGAAUAUUCUGGAAGGACUCCAAGGGAGUCUAUUGGAAUAUCUUACAAUAAAGUAAAAAUUCAAGAAGAAUUUUACAUGCAAGUAAGGAUUAAGAAAUUUGUUUUAUAAGUCACGGGAUAAAGGUAUGUAUUAAGUGACAUUGCUAAAUUCUUCCCUU
rnacentral:lncRNA from 1 species